rnacentral:ncRNA from 10 species
AUCGUUCAUCUAUUCAUAGACGGAAGUAGGUAAUACAACCGAAGGAACGCAUC